rnacentral:rRNA from 1 species
AAUCAUCGAAUCUUUGAACGCAAAUUGCGCUCUCGGGUUACCCCCAAGAGCACACCUCUCUGAGUGUCGGUUUAACCUCAUGUCACCAAUUUAUUGGUGUACGACAGUCUGAGGGUAAGGGGUCUCACGAUUCCUUUCCCUUUAAAUUCUCAGCCGCACGACUGUGUGUGUUGGUGGCAAGUUGGUUUCACUUAACUGUGAAUUCAAUCCAUUGACCCUAUGUCGAGUAGCACAAAAGAAACAUAUGAACAAAGGUGGAAGCUUAAAAAUGUGCCUGCUACAAAGAGAUGUGAGAACAAAAGGACCACAGCAAUCCCUAGUAAAUCAUUGUGAGGAAAGUUAUUGAUUUAGGGACCUCUGUGUAAACUUGUUCAAGUGUUUUGGCGGAGUAGAUGUGUUUUUUUGCCAACAACUUUGAGUCAUCUAUGAAUUAGACCUCAGAUGAAGUGGGAAGACCCCCUGAAUUUAAGCAUAUUAUUAAGGGGAGGAAAAGAAACUAACAAGGAUUCCCCUAGUAACGGCGAGUGAAGCGGGAAAAGCUCAAAUUUAAAAUCCACUGGUCUAACAGCCUGUGGAGUUGUAAUCUAGAGAGGCUCUCUCAGUGCCAGCCUGGUUAUAAGUCCCUUGAAACGGGGCAUCAAAGAGGGUGAGAAUCCCGUAUUUGAGCCGGAGCUAAGUACGUACGAGGAGUUUUCUAAGAGUCGCGUUGCUUGGGAGUGCAGCGCUAAAUGGGUGGUAAAGUUCAUCUAAAGCUAAAUACUGGCGAGAGACCGAUAGCGAACAAGUACCGUGAGGGAAAGAUGAAAAGAACUUUGAAAAGAGAGUUAAAAAGUACUUGAAAUUGUUAACAGGGAAGGGGAGUCAACCAGUCAUUUCUAAGCUUCAUUCGCUUUUCCUUCGGGAGGAGUUACUUGAGGCUAAGAAGGGUCAGCAUCACUUAGACUGUCUUCGUAGAAAUUGUAUGAGUUGGUGCGUUUCUUCGGAUUCGUUUUAGCUUGUAUAACCUACAUUGAUGCUGGGUGAGGAGUGAUAACCCCCCGCCUUCGGGCGUCGGUACCUUGAUGCCUGUUUGCCCUAGCGCGUGAGAGAACAAAGUUCUGUCUGUGCGAAAGGUGAAUACUGCGUUAGGUGUGCCA